GUGCAAGGGAAUGAGCUAGGAGAUCCUUGCAACUGAUUGUUUGCAGGAGUUGUUUUCUGGGCACAAAAUAGAGUCUGAGCACUGGAAAUACAACAGGGGGAAUUAUAUUCAAGGGACUUCCUGGAGGCCGGAUCACAAGAUUUGACAAGCGAUUGAAUGUGGGGGUGAAGGGAGCAGUGCUGUGACUGAUUGGGAAGAGGUUUCCUUGCUGUUACUCAAAACAGAGCUUCAGAGUCGGUGUGGUUUCUGUGAAUGGAUUUUCCACAACUAUCAAGCAUUGGGAAACCAAGAAGCCUGGUUCAAGAUUGAUUAGGACCGUCGCCAUAUAUAAGCCUGAAAAUUUGGUCCCCUGACAAGAUAAGCACAGACAAGAGACUCUAUCAGUGUCAGCAGCUGCCUCAUGUUAAGACGUGCAUUUUGGGCAGCAGUUCUAAAAAUGGCUAACUGGCUUUAGCAGAAAGAAUGCCUCAUGUGUUCUCCUAGAGCAGGGGGUGCACCCUUGAUGAAAGCCGAGUGACUUUUUAGAUAAGAGUGCUAUGUCUGAUUGUUAUUAAAAUGUCACCCUUGGUAA